AUGUGACAAAGUGCAUAUCAUUUGUAUUAUUUUCAUGGUUCUAUCAGACGUAAACUAAACGGCAAAGAAGUCAAAUUUGAUAAUCAGGAUCAGACAAUCAUUAGCAAGAUUUGCAGACCUAUUUUUGUUGAAUUCCUGUCAUGUUUAAAGAAUGGUAUUCGACAUUCUUUGAUCUGAAGAGAACGAAACCGGCAAAGAAGUCAAAGGUUGCAAGUUGUUCUCAACACUAAAAGAUCGUCAUAUUUGUGCUCAAGGCUUUCCAUCAAAGAAAGUUUCCUGUUCAUAUGUAACUAUCAAUAGUCGGAUUUAAAAUACAGGCAGAUCUGUUGAUUACGAGAACAAAUCCGGCAUAUACAGCAAACAACUAGUCGCUAUGACUUUCUUGGAAGAGGGAAAUUGUAAUAUGAAUAAUGGUGAUUAUGAAAUGGCAAUUGAACACUACGAAAGAUGUUUGAAUGUUGCUAACGAGAAUAGCCUCAAAAUGAUGGCAUAUUUUAGUCUUGGUAACGCUUAUACCCUCUCUAAUAAACGGGAGGAAGGGAUGAACUGUUUUAAUCUUUGUUUAAAUCUUUCUUCCAAAGUAGAAACUAAAUAUUUUCAACAUAAAGUUUAUCUUGGCCUGGGAAGUGUUCAUUCUACCACUGCAAGAUUAGAGGAAGCCAUAAAGAAAGAUGAAGUGGAAUGUCUUUGCCAUAUUGCACUAGGAGGAUUGAACAAGUCGCUUGGAAAUUAUGAGAAAUCUUUGGAGCAUUAUAGAAAAGGAUUCUCUUUUAUUGAUUGUGAACACCAA